CCCUGAAGUCGCCUGCGUGGUGACCCAGGAAAUCCCCGAGCCGAGCCGUAAGGUCCUUAAGUGAGUAACUUUGCCCUGGAGGAAAGUGGAUUCUACGAAGGGAGUUAAGAACAGACACUGAGUCCCAGCAACUCUGGAGGCUGAGGCGGGAGCAUCGCUUGAGCCCAGGAGUUCGAGGCAGCCGUGAGCCGUAAUCGUGUCGCGCCACUGUACUCAAGCCUCCAGACCGGGCGACAGAGCAAGACCCCGAGACCCCUCCCAUUAAAAAAAAAUGAACACUGUACGAAACGCUGCGGUUUCAGAGCUGGAAGAGACCUCAGACAUUCAAUCCCUUUUCCCAAAAUUCACUGGAAGAGCUCGAGGAAAACUUUCCCUUGCAGCUGUCUCAGUCUUUACAGUGCUUAGUUACGAAGACAGUCUUAACAGUCCCAUCUUUCGCCCUGUAAUUCAAGUAUCUCUGUAGAAGCUAUUAAUGUUUCACCUACCA
rnacentral:lncRNA from 10 species